AUUGAUAAAAUUGGAGAUGGAGUUUUAAGUCUCCGUGCACAUUCACAAGGAAACCGUGCUCUGGAAAUGGGAAUUUUCUAUCCUGCCAAAGUGCCUUCGCCAGCGGCUCACCACGCUCCACCAAAAUGUUAUUUAGAUAAACGUUGUGAAAGUUUUUUUUUCUACAGUCUAUCAGCAGACAUUUUUUUAUGCACAGGAGAUCUGUCUUCAGCCUGGGAGUUCAAGAGGGUUGCAUCAUCAAAAAGGCAGUGAAUAGACCCCAGAGAAAGGCCUGUCCCAAACCUGACCCCAGUGUUGCACAAAAAAAGAUUGGAAAUACUCUUAGAUAGGAGAUUCAUGGUUCCUUGCAGCCUGUCAUUCCUUCAUGUCUUCGACGCUGGAAGUGUGUUCGCCCAUGACUGUACUGGUGAGCCAUACUAAUGGGAUGAUGACAUCAGUGACUUGCUUAUGGGGUGGACUUUCCAGACAAACCAUCUCAUCUUCUGUUCAACAGGAUUGCUGAGUGGAGAGGGGCUUGUGGUUGACUAGGAGGAAGAUGUCAUGCUGACGAUGGGUUUGGGCGAUGAUGUUGCUGGUGUUGAUGCGGCAUCGAGCUCUCACUUUGUGCCUCUGUCAGCCAUGAUGCAUAACCAUAGAGUGAGUGACAGGCCAGUCCCCAGAGGGAACAGGGGGCCUGAGAAGCACAGGCUCUUUUCAGAGGCGGUGAGGAAGACUGACCGUCUUGAAGACAGUGCUUGAAGACAGCCCUAUCUGCUCUAAUGCUAGUCACCGGCCGUUAGACAUGGCGUUCAAAGACUAGCGGUGCAAGUAUGGAAAUGCAGAUAAGGCAUUGUUGAAGAAACAUGCCUGGGAAUUGUUCAAGGCUUUCCCUCGUAUAAUGUUCUGAUACUUUUGCAAAUGUUUUAAUCUCAAAACCCAUGAAUCUGAUCCUCGGGACUUUGCAUGGAAAGGAUUGUCAUGUUAUGCAAAUGACUGAUGUUUGUGAUUAUUUUUGUGAUUGUUUUGACAGCUACCAGCAAAGAAAUGAACUAACUCACAAUACUAGUAAUAUUUUUCUCCUUUCUAGAUAAUAAUACAGAGUGAUGUUUUAAGAUAGAAAUGCCUAGUCAUGUUCAUCUUUUCUAGAUAAUGAAGCAUUGAAAUGCAUUUCUCCUUUCUAGAUUAUUAUGCAAGUUAAUGUAUUUCUCCUUUUUAAAUAAUGCAUAGCAAUGUAUUUCUGCUUUUUACAUUAUUAAGUCUGAGGUUUCAUGUUUUUUAGGAGCUCAACACCCACUUGAUACUGUAGGGUCACAUUUUCUGUUGAGCUCUAGCCAGGCCUCAUUUUUAUUUAUUUAUUUAUUUAUUUAUUUAUUUAUUAUUUAUUUCUCUGCUGAUAUGGCGCCAUGAAUUCAAGACUUUGCUUCACAGAAAGAUAGAAAGAUGUCAGAAACUUGUGUGUAUAAUCUUCAAGGUUUAUUUACUUUUCUUUUGCAGUUUUCAGGAGGCAGUUAAUUACACAAUUAAUACAUGAUACAAAUUAUGUACAUUUAUACCAAAGAAUACUUCCAACAUAAA